rnacentral:lncRNA from 1 species
UACAAAGUCCUAGUUUUGUAAUGUUGCUACACAUGAACCAAGUUCACGACAAAGUUUUGGUGAUGUCUACCACCAAUGAUGCAUCAUCACCCAUGGCUCCUUUAAAUUAAAACUUCGUUCUCAUCAACCAAAUGCUCCAAAGUGUAAUUUCUUUUUACAUUUUGACGUGUAGCUUCUUUGUGUCUGUCACACAUGACAUUCAUCUUUUCCUUUCAUUCCUUCACCACUCACACAGUCGCACCAGUAAAUUUGAUCAGUCUCUUCUCUUCUUGGCUUUUCCUCCUUACGUCAAAAGCAUAUUCACAAAUCACAAUGGUGGAAAUCGUCGGUUCUGCAACCGCUUUAGACCGGAAAACCAUCAGUUUUGUCGGUUUUUUCUGUUUCUGGAGCUUCCUCCUGUUGUUAUGAAGUCAGUCCGAAAAGAAAGAAGGAGGCUCGGGCUCGGGCUUGGGCUUUCAAAUAUUAUUUCAGCCUACGUAGUUUAUGUUGUAUAAAAUGCUACGAAGACCUGCAAAACAAGAUCAAUAAGAAAGAUCUGAGACGUGCUGGACGCACUGUCCUCAAGGAUUUUCCGCGUGUAAAACGCUAACCCUUCCAAGAUAUAACAGACCCUUCCCGGCAAACCGAGGAUUCAGAACUGACAAGAGAUAUGAGACAGGUAGUGUAACCAGAAAGAAAGAUGGAAGUGUGAAAGGGAUAUGUUUUGUUGUUUUCGUGAGUUGUGUUUUUUUUCUGUAUUUUAAUAUGUGCUCCUCCAAACAAUUUAUAUAGGCCAUUUCCAAUAACAAACUGCUGAGCAUAAUAAAACGUGGGAUGUACACAUACUCAGCACUGCCACUUCUUGGCAUAAAAAUAGGGAUACUAGUAAAACUAAUUUAUUGUGCACGUUAUAGUGAUGUCAAGACCAAGUAAAACCAAUGCAAAGUAAUUGAAAAGGAAGUUCCACAAAUCAUGGCAACGUGAUAUUCUGCCAAAUCAGCUUCUUAGGAAUAAGUCAACAAGGCUAAUUUUCUUAAUAAAAUUAGUUAAACCAUUUUUAUAAUAAAUAGAAAAUGAAUAACUUUUGAAAUAUCUCAAAUAUACAACAAUCCCCCACAUAUUUCAAAAGUUUAAAAGAAAUUAUUUAAAGACUUUCUGGGUUAACACGUGGAUGUGAUGCAUCAAACUGGUGUAGCAAGCUAUAUGAACCAGUCCUAGAAUGGUAAACUUAACACACAGUGAAUUUGGUGUAGCAAGCUAUAUGAACCAAAGACACUUGUGUAUGUUAGAGGUCUAUCACCCGCAUCGCACCCCCACAAUUCUUGUCGUUGGCGCUGUGGUGCGCAAAUAGGCCGUGCGCGUGCUUGGAUAUUUUCAUGAGUGCUCUAGAGAUUUCGCCAAUAUCUCAUGCAAGCGGCCCCACUUGACACUCACAUAGGUGACUUGUUAGCAUAACUAAUGAGUGACUUGUUAUUACCCAUAUGAACCUUAUUCAUGGGAUCUCCAAUCACAAAGGUUGGGUUCCUAUCACUUAUUAAUUUCGAAUGGCUCAAGUCUAAUUCCCCUCGAUGUGUCACAUAUUAUUUUCCUCCCUAGGGGUUUUAUCGGAUCCGUUAAAUUCACAAAUAUUGAUUAAGACGUUUCUUAAUCAAAUAAUCUCAUGUUUACAAGUCUCAUGAACUCGGUGUAUAUAAUAAAAUUUAUACAGGUCUACUUAGAUAUUUACUAAGCGACAACACCCCCACAAUGAGUAAAAUUAAUACUCAUUGAUUUCAAAUCAAACUAAUAUCAUUGCAUUAUUUUACACAAUGGUUUGUACGCUCUAACCAAUAUUACAAUUCACAUUAUAAAGUAAUUUUGCAGAGAAUGAAAAUUUAAUGAACCGCUGCAAUAGUAACCUUGAUUGCCAUCAGUUUGGACUCUAACCUAUCAAGGUCACCAUCACAAACUUACUACAAAGGUUGUUGCCUAAAUGACUUUGGUAGCUUUACGAAUACAUCUUCCUACACUAAAAAGGUUCACAUAUACUUACCAAAACAUGCACAUUCAAAAUUAUGUUUUCCUAAAUAUAAGACUUGUCAUAUGAUGAUAGUAAUGUAUUAACAAAAUAAAAUACAACACCUAUCUAAAAUCAUGAUGACAGUGCAAAAAUAAAAUACUGAUAAAACUACAUAUAGAACUUGAGUUAUAUAGAAAAGAAUUGCUUACUUCCAGUCAAUGCGUAGACUGUACAAAACAUUAUAUUAAAGUAUAUUUAAAUCAAAUAAGUUCUUAUUUAAUACUUCAUUUAAAUGCCAACGUAUUUCAUGAUGUAGACUAUUAACAUAAUGUUUCAUAAAAUUACAAGACCUUAAUAUAAGACCUUGUUUCAUCUGGUUUGUUCAACACCAGAAUAUUAAGCAAAGUAAUUUCAAAAUUGAAUAGUUCAUACAAUCAUACAAUAAAUUAAAUUGCCAUAUCUCAAUACAGUAACAUAUAUAUGACAGAUAAAUACCAAGAUUAUAUCCAGAAGGAGAACUAAUUCAAUUUCAAACUUGAGAAAAUAACAUGGCAUUGGCAUCCAUACGUGGCUAGAACAAUGACCGUUUUAAAUUAAGAAAAGUACUCAAAUUAAGAUCAUGUAGAACAUAUAAUAGUAACACAGAAAGCAACUGAAUUCAAUUUAACAAAAUGAAAUGACAUGACUGAACCAAAGCUUUUCAGCAAUGUUUAUUCUAGGUGCCAUACUAAUAAGCAAAAGAAAAUCUGAUCCCUCUAAAGAAGGAACCUAAUUAUGCAUAACUUCAGCAAUGUUUAGUACAAACAGACCCUUGUCACAAUAACCUUUCCCCACAAAUACAUUAUCUUUUGUCAUUACAAUCUUGUCAGAUUCAAAUGACACUUUAAUCCCACCCUUGCUCAAAAGAGCCACUGAAACCAGAUUGGUCCUUAUAUUAGGCACAUGUAAGACAUCACUUAGAGCCAAGGUCUUUCCUGAUGUGAGCUUCAACAUAACUUUCCCUUUUCCCGAAACAGCAGCAGUUCGAGAGUCACCAAGGUAAACCAGUUCUUCUCCAUCCCCCACAGUAUUGUAGGAGGUGAAGGCAUCCUUAGUAGCACAUAUAUGUCGGGUAGCUCCAGAGUCUACCACCCAUUUGUUCACAUCAGUCACAAUGUUUGCUUCAGCAAUAACUGCAGCAAUAAUGUCAUCAUCUCCUUCAGCCAAAUUGGCUUCAGGAGGAUUCUCAUUCUUCUUUCGGUGUCUGCACUGAGGUGCAUAGUGACCUAUCUUACCACAUACAUAACAAUGUCCUCCAUUUCCAUUUGUGAAAGUGGGAUUAGUAACACGAGGAACAUGAUUAUUUUUAUAGUGACCAGAUUUACGAUUAGGUUUGUUAUCAUACCUCCUUUUCUGAUUAGUGUUGUUCUGGAUCAGAUUUGCUUGGGAAGCUAAAGCCCUGGCCUUGGCAGCCCUGCUCUCCUUUCGGUUGGUAUUCUCUAUGAUGAUGUGUGUAAUAAGAUCUGCCAACGGCAACUGCUUCUGCUUGUGCUUCAGCUGGUUCUUGUAAUCGUUCCAUGAUUCAGACAAUUUUUCAAUGAGAAUUCCAGCAAUGAACUCGUCUGGGAGAGGAAUAUUUUCAGCCUUUAAUUCUUCAAUCAGUUUGUGAUAUUCAUUGAUUUGAUCCUUAAUAUCUUUCUCUUCUAACAUCGUCCAGCGGUAGUAAUUGCCUAUGACGAAGUUUUUCUUUCCAGCAUUUUCAGCGGUAUAUUUCAGAACCAUGGAAUCCCAUAUUUCCUUCGCUUCCUUGUACGAACAGUAGACAUCGAAUAACUCAUUAGACAAGGUAGUCAUAAUAGUGUGACGACAUACCUUAUUUGCAUGUUCCCAUGUGUCGACUUCUUUCUGAGUUGAUGAAGACGGUGGCUUAGAGUUGGUGAGGGCUGAAGCGACACCGUGUAAGUCGAGGGUUGAGCUGAUGCGCUCCUGCCACCUUCGAAAGUUCUGACCCGCAAAGACUUCGAUCUUUGAAACGUCGGGAAACGGUUUGGCAUAGUUGAUGGUCGGCACAACAAGAUUUUGUUGCUGAACCUUUGGAGCAUCGUUUUUGGGAGAGCCGUUGUUGGAGUUGUCUUCAGUAGUCAUUGAAACUCCUUGAGAUUGUUGUAUGAAAUGCUACGAAGACCUGCAAAACAAGAUCAAUAAGAAAGAUCUGAGACGUGCUGAACGCACUGUCCUCAAGGAUUUUCCGCGUGUAAAACGCUAACCCUUCCAAGAUAUAACAGACCCUUCCCGGCAAACCGAGGAUUCAGAACUGACAAGAGAUAUGAGACAGGUAGUGUAACCAGAAAGAAAGAUGGAAGUGUGAAAGGGAUAUGUUUUGUUGUUUACGUGAGUUGUGUUUUUUCCUGUGUUUUAAUAUGUGCUCCUCCAAACAAUUUAUAUAGGCCAUUUCCAAUAACAAACUGCUGAGCAUAAUAAAACGUGGGAUGUACACAUACUCGGCACUGCCACUUCUUGGCAUAAAAAUAGGGAUACUAGUAAAACUAAUUUAUUGUGCACGUUAUAGUGAUGUCAAGACCAAGUAAAACCAAUGCAAAGUAAUUGAAAAGGAAGUUCCACA